CAGCACGCUCUACAACAGCUGACCACAAUAAAACAUCAGCAUCAGAGUCAAGUAAAUAAGUUCCUCCUUCACAGGUGUUUUCUUUAAACUGGCCAAGCCACAACCCCCACAGGAGAACCUACAGAAUAAGGCCCAUGGACCCUACUUAAAGGCAGAGUCCCACAGCCCCGCCCUCUCUUGCUGGCUCUCUACCGCCUCCAGACUUCCUAUCCACCUCCACUGGGCGCCACUAACCUCUCUGGGUCUUAUUUUUGUUUGCAUUCUCAUCAACUCUUGCCUGGUUUCCAUCAAUUGCCUCCUAACCAGCACUUCAAUACAUCUGCCAGGAUGACUUUUCCAAAAGGUAUCAGAAGAGUAACUGGCUCACUGGAUUCCCUCUGCCUAGACUACCCUUCCCCUUAUUUUCAUAUUGCUAAUCCUCUUACCUCAUUCAAGUCUUUUCUCAAAUGUCCUUUAAAUGUGGUCUACCAUGGCCAUCAUAUUUAAAAUGUAAACCCUUAGCCCAUUUAAGAUGUCCAUGAUUUUCUUCUAUUGUACUCUAUUUUUGCUCCUUACCGUAUCUUAUCCACAAGGAUACUAUGUAGUUUACAUAUUCAACUGUCUAACCUUAGUCCUUCUGAGAUAAAAGAAGCUCCACCAUAGAACAGGGAUUCUUCUAUGUUUGUUCAGUGUAGGAUAAUUAACACGUAGUGUAUAUUCUGUAAAUAUUCACUGGAAAAAUAAAUAAAUGCCUUCUUCUUAAGCCAACAGUCACUCUUCUUUCUAAGCCUCAAGGAAAAGUAUAUCUUAAAUAUCUUAUUUUAUAAAAACAUUCAAAUAGGGAAAAUAUAUUUUUAAAAAACAGUAUGAAAAAACUCAUACCAAAAAUAUAUUUGGCUUACUAAACUUAUGAGUUCAAAUAAAUUCUUUAAAAUGAGAGAGACACUUCAGCAUGAACAAAAAGCAAAAUCCCACAGGAGGCCAGAUCACUUAAAGCAAGGAGUUCCA
rnacentral:lncRNA from 10 species